rnacentral:rRNA from 1 species
CCUUUUCCAGGGAAAUACCCCAGGGAAAAUUUGGUCUAAUUUCCCAUACCAUUCCUUUAAAGGCAUUUUUAAAUAAAUUUAAGGUUUCGUUGUUUUUGGAUUGGCUCGCGUACCUUAUUCCAGAUGGGGAUGUAACGGCUCACCAUUGCAAUGAUGUUUAAGGGUUUUUUUGAGGAAGGCCCCCCCACACUGAGACUGAGACACGGCCCAGACUCCUACGGGAGGCAGCAGUGAGGAAUAUUGGACAAUGGAUGGAAAUCUGAUCCAGCCAUGCCGCGUGCAUGAAGACGUCCUUAUGGGUUGUAAACUGCUUUUAUACGGGAGCAAUAAGGGUUACGAGUAAUCCGAUGAGAGUACUGUAUGAAUAAGGAUCGGCUAACUCCGUGCCAGCAGCCGCGGUAAUACGGAGGAUCCGAGCUUUGUCCGGAAUUAUUGGGUUUAAAGGGUGCGUAGGCGGCCAUUUAAGUCAGCGGUGAAAUUUUGCAGCUUAACUGUAACAGUGCCGUUGAUACUGUUUGGCUAGGAUUUGGUUGUAGUGUGCGGAAUGUGUGGUGUAGCGGUGAAAUGCUUAGAUAUCACACAGAACACCGAUUGCGAAGGCAGCACAUUAAGUCAUUAUUGACGGUGAGGCACGAAAGUGUGGGGAUCAAACAGGAUUAGAUACCUUGGUAGUCCACACUGUAAACGAUGAUAAAUCGCUGUCGGCGAUACACAGUCGGUGCCAAGCGAAAGC